AAUAUAGCAAUGAAAAGAAGAGUAACUAAAUUUUCUUUUAAAGAGAGUCUAUGGCUGGUGUAAAUAGAUAAAAAAGUUUAGCGAAAAUGGUCUUGGAGCUUUUAAAUCGAUAUGUAGAUUUAAACGUGAUCUUACGUUACAAGAAGAGUGCUAAUUAUAAUAAUUGUAAUUAGAACUAAGGUGGUACCGCGAUCAUUCGUCCUUAGA
rfam:complete chromosome Acholeplasma palmae.